GCCUGGGUGGCUCAGUCGGUUAAGCGUCUGACUUCAGCUCAGGUCAUGGCUUUAUGGUUUGUGAGUUCAAGCCCUGGCUCAGGCU
rnacentral:tRNA from 1 species